rnacentral:rRNA from 1 species
UACGAAGGGGGCUAGCGUUGCUCGGAAUCACUGGGCGUAAAGGGUGCGUAGGCGGGUCUUUAAGUCAGGGGUGAAAUCCUGGAGCUCAACUCCAGAACUGCCUUUGAUACUGAAGAUCUUGAGUUCGGGAGAGGUGAGUGGAACUGCGAGUGUAGAGGUGAAAAUUCGUAGAUAUUCGCAAGAACACCAGUGGCGAAGGCGGCUCACUGGCCCGGUACUGACGCUGAGGUGCGAAAGCGUGGGAGCAACAGG